rnacentral:rRNA from 1 species
UACGUAGGGCGCGGGCGUGUCCGGAUUUAUUUGGGCGUAAAGAGCUCGUAGGCGGCUUGUCGCGUCGAAUGUGAAAUCUCAGGGCUCAACUCUGACAUUUGCAUUCGAUACGGGCAGGCUAGAGUUCGGUAGGGGAGACUGGAAUUCCUGGUGUAGCGGUGAAAUGCGUAGAUAUUUGUGAGGGAACACUAGUGGGCGAAAAAGCGCUCUG